UACGAAGGGGGCUAGCGUUGCUCGGAAUCACUGGGCGUAAAGCGCACGUAGGCGGAUCCUUAAGUCGGGGGUGAAAUCCUGGAGCUCAACUCCAGAACUGCCUUCGAUACUGAGGAUCUCGAGUCCGGGAGAGGUGAGUGGAACUGCGAGUGUAGAGGUGAAAUUCGUAGAUAUUCGCAAGAACACCAGUGGCGAAGGCGGCUCACUGGCCCGGUACUGACGCUGAGGCGCGAAAGCUAGGGGAGCAAACGGG
rnacentral:rRNA from 1 species